AUGGGAGAGACUGUGUAAGCGGCGCCGAAGGGGAAUUGCAAAAACUCUCAGGCAAAAGGACCGUA
rnacentral:ncRNA from 1 species